GCUGCUGGAACAGUCACUUGGUCUGUGGGAGUUGGAGCGUGGAGCAGAAUGUGCUGUACUGAGCAUAACAGCAACACCUACGUCCUCUCUAAUCCUUCUAAAGAGAAGGUGCAUAUGAGGUGGCAACAGAGGAGAUUGAUGAUAGCAGCAAACACAAUCAAGAUGAAAUAAGGCCAAAAG